UUAUGAAUGGGGGGCCGGAAAAGAACUUAACCCGUGAUUGCUGGGGCUAACUCUAGCUCUUCCAGGGGCCGUCGUUCUUUUACAAAGGGGGGUGGAGGUUGUUGUUGACUUUUUUUUUUUUUAUGAAUGGAGGGCGGCGGCGACUGCAGCAGCUGGCUCAGCUGCGCGGGCUGUACCCCCUCCCAGCCUGCGAGAGGAGCUUUCCUGAAGGAGGAGAUGAGCAGACCCUGGGCUUGGUGGGAUGGUGGAAUGAUGGAGGAGCCCCCAGUCCUGAGCUGGCAGGAGCCUCUGAUGCCCAGGUACAACUGCUCUGCUAGAGGCAAAACCCUAACAACUGCGUUCCUGCCCGUGCUAACGACAGUCCUUUCACCGAGCCUCACUGAAGCUAGUGGAAAACCCGCACCAACAAAACCGAGGAACAAAUCCAGAGGGUAGACAACGUGGGAAUAACUGCAUGGAGCUCAGAUUCCAUUUCUCAGCUUCUGGAACAACAAGAGACACACAGGGAAGUCAGAACCUUUGAAGGCCAAUGCCACUCCCUUCACCCACCUCCACCACGAAGUAGCACUUUUGGGAAUUCUUCCAUCUCAGAAGAGCUUUGUCAUCUCUUACAUCAGUUGGAGCUGGCAGCUCUCAAAUCCAUCUUCUGCACCCCAGAAGUUCCGUGGGACACUCCCUGACUGAAGGGGAGGCAGCUGACCAGUGCCCGCUCAGCCUGCUGCUCAGCAGAGAGUUUGUGAAGCCACAUACCGAACCCUUUCCCACAGCCCAGGGAAGAUGAGUCAGAAACAUGGCAAACAAAAGCCAAGGAGGGACCUUUGCAUGAGGCUGCGAGCCCACCUGUCCAUCGGCAUCCGCAUCAUGGAGCAGGACGGGGAGUGCUGGACCCUGGGCUGCAGAGAGCCAGCUCCACCUCUUUUCUUCCUGAUACAUGCGGAUGCUCCCCAUUACAAUGGAUGCUCCUGGACUAAACCUAUGUGUGCAAAUGCAGAUUAGACACAGAUGUUCCAGCAGGGCUGGCCCCACGCGGACAAACUCUGUCUAAAGAAGAGCAGAAGAGUUGGCAGAGGAAAUCAGAACUUGUUUCCUAAGAACUUCCCAGGUAGAAGAUUUAAUCGCUGCUCCAGUGACAUGUGUGUUAAUGAGGGAGGAAAGAAAAAGGACCCCCUAACAGAUGGAGAGAGAGGCUCUGAUUACUGAAAGCAGUUUUACAGUCUCCUGUACACGGCCUGUGAGGACCCUCACUCCAGGAUCAGCUCUCAUUUUCGUGGAUUGGGACCUGCCCUUUGGUGAUAUUGGGAAUGUUGGAGGAGCAAUGCCUGGAUCUCCCUCUAUGCUGCCCAUGAGGCUAUCUGCAUCUUUCACCUUUCCAGGUGGAGUGGGCAGGGAACUCAAGUCCGGGAAGGGUGGAUGUUGUGUCCGAGCAGGGUCUGAGCAUAGCCUGCGGGUCUCUUCUCCUGCUCCUAGACUGGCGUACUUGUCAGGAAAGUUCAGCUGUCCCCUGACUGAAAUAGGACGCUCUCGUUCCUUCAGAUAAGGAAAAUGAGACAUGAAGAGGUUAAGUUGUCCAAGGUCACAUGCAGGGUCUGGGAGUUCCUCCGCCUCUGUUAGAGAUUCUCUGAUAAAGUUGACAAUUAGAGCAGAAGAAAUUGCUGUACUGAAGAAACCAAAUUUGACAAAGUCAGCCUCGCAGCCGUGUCUGUUUUUGCCUGUGCACAGAGCAGACAGCUAGAGACGACAGUCAGCUCUCUAGAGCUAUUUAUUGAACGAAAAAAUAGACCAGAAAGAAUUACUCUUGAAGAGAAAUCUAUUUCAAAAAGAGUUGACAUUUGUGAGGAGUCCAGGACAGUCAUUUUGCAGAUUAUGCGGCUUAUUUGUUCAACAGUUCACAGUAAACACCUCCUGUGUGCCGGGCACUGUGCUGUGAGAGGAGAACAUCGUCGUCAAG